UUCAAACACCUGUUCCCGUACAAUCACCGAAGUUAAGCAACAUCGAGUUUGGUUAGUACCUAGAUGGGCGACCGCCUGGGAAUUCCAGGUUUUGUAA